CCCAGUCCUGACACCUCCCAGGUCUUGCUUCCCACCCCUCAAGUGCCAGUGGCACACCAGCACCCCAAAAUUCACCAGAACAAGCUGAAAAUCCCUCUGUUCCACAGAAAACUGGCUGCAGGACGGAGACAGAAAUGCAGCAGCAACCCUGGCCUCAAAUAUCUGCACCCUGUUGCUAGGCUACCUGGCUGCCUUCCACACAUCCCAGAGCUGCUGGAAACCUCACAGCAAAUGGCAGCUCACAUGGUGCUGGAACUGAGGCAGGCAGAGCCUGGCUAAGGAAAACCGUGGCUGGGUCCCACCAUGGGCCGUGUCCCCUUGAAUUAAAAACAACUAUUGAACAAAUCCCCUCAUUUCUUAUAUAAAUAUAUAAAUCACCUCAUUUCUUCUGUGCUGCUGCCAGGAUUGAGGAUUUCUAUACAGACCAGCAAUAAACUGGA